AACGAACGCUGGCGGCAUGCCUAACACAUGCAAGUCGAACGAGACCUUCGGGUCUAGUGGCGCACGGGUGCGUAACGCGUGGGAACCUGCCCUUAGGUUCGGAAUAACUCCCCGAAAGGGGUGCUAAUACCGGUUAAUGUCUUCGGACCAAAGAUUUAUCGCCUUUGGGUGGGCGCGCGUUGGUUUAGCUAGUUGGUGGGGUAAAAGCCUACCAAGGCGGCGAUCCAGAGCUGGUCUGAGAGGAUGCACAGCCGCACUGGGACUGCGACCCGGCUCAGACUGGAGGGGGCGGUGGGAGGGGGGAAAAAUGGGCAGGGGGCCAAAGGCAGAACCGCCGCGGGCGGGUGGAUGGUGAAGGGCUUGGGGUUGGAAAGCUCUUUUGCCGGGGCGGAAGUGACGGGAACGGGGAAAGAAGCUCCCGCUAACUCCGUG
rnacentral:rRNA from 1 species